rnacentral:misc_RNA from 1 species
GGGACGAUCUUGAGGAGGCGCCUAGAGAUAAGUUGGGGUGGAUUGCUGAAAUCUUGAGAAAGAAAGAAAGUGAACUUGAGGGUGAAGAUGCUGCUUCUACUGGGGAUUCAGAGAGUGAGGAGGACGAUGGUGAGGAUGAAGGAAGUGACGAUGGGGAAGAUGAAGAAAGUGAGGAGUCUGAUGAAGAACAAGGAAAGACACAGACUAUUAAGGACUGGGAGCAAAGUGACGAUGAUAUUAUUGAUACUGAGGAAGAGGAUGAUGAUGAAGGUUCUGGUGAUGAUGCUAAGAAGGUGAUGAAAAUAAAGGACCACAAGCAGGUAGCUGUCAAGGGAAAAGAAGAUGGCACUUCACAAACCAAAAAAGAAAAAACGACAGCGAAAGAUCAACAAAGCGAACUUCCCUAUACAAUUGAAGCCCCUAAAACCCUGGAGGAGUUUACUUCAUUGAUAGACAAUUGUUCUGAUGAUCAAGUAAUUGAAGCAAUCAAGAGAAUUCGUGCAUUCAAUGCA